CCCAGAGGCCAAUGCUCAGGACUCCUGUGGACAAGCUCUGGUUUCCCUGGCUUGCCACCGGAUCUGCUUCCUUCUGGGUUGUCAGGUACAGGGCUGUUACAGAGCCUCAAUGUGGGAUGUGCCUUUGGUCUCCACUGAUUCCCUCAGCCCGCUAUUUGGGUACUUUCAGUGGUCCAGGUGAACUGCUGGGCCCAAGGGAUAUAGGCUAGGAAGGUAGUAACCUUGGGUGGGGAGGGGGAAGAUAUGGGAACAUAGACAGAGAUAAGUCCCUGAGAUUUCUUUGGCAAAGGAGCACGUAUGUGCCUGAGGCAACUCAGGAGGUAACCUGCUGGUGUCCCAGGACUGCUACAAGGAUCAGAUGGUUAUCUGUGAAUGAAAAUGCUUUGGUACACUCCCCUCUUAUUCUACUUUCUGUCUCCAUGAAUUUGCCUAUUCCAGUACCUCAUGAUCCUGACUUCAAAAGAUACAGACUCCAGGCAUCCCAGCUCCGGUAGACUUGCUGACCUGCAACCACAGAGCCAAGAUGCUGUAAAAACCAGGAUGAUGUGAAGCCAGGAUGACUAAACCAGGGUGAUGCACACUGGAUUGUCACUUGCCUUGUGCUCAUCUGUGUGUAGAGAACUUGUCAAUCCCCACCUUUGAUCUCUUUGAUCUGUUCCCCUCUCCCUCCUUAUAAAAAUCUCUGCCUUCACUGAGGCGUGGAGAUGGGCUUUGAGACAUGAGUCCCUCAUCUUCCCAGGAAAUGGGCUUUGAAACAAGAGUCCCUCAUCUUCUCAGGCAGAUGGGCUUUGAGACAAGAGUCCCCCAUCUUCCAGAUGGCUGGCA